GAUAAAGAACGUAGCGAAAUGCGAUAAGUAGUGUGAAUUGCAGAAUUCAGUGAAUCAUCGAAUCUUUGAACGCACAUUGCGCCCCUUGGUAUUCCAUGGGGCAUGCCUGUUCGAGCGUCAUUUGUACCUUCAAGCUUUGCUUGGUGUUGGGUGUUUGUCUCGCCUUUGCGUGUAGACUCGCCUUAAAAUAAUUGGCAGCCGGCGUAUUGAUUUCGGAGCGCAGUACAUCUCGCGCUUUGCACUCAUAACGACAGCGUCCAAAAGUACAUUUUACACUCUUGACCUCGGAUCAGGUAGGGAUACCCGCUGAACUUAAGCAUAUCAAUAAGCGGAGGA
rnacentral:misc_RNA from 1 species